rnacentral:rRNA from 1 species
AAUGAACGCUGGCGGCGUGCCUAACACAUGCAAGUCGAACGAGAAACUCCGGGCUUGCUCGGAGGAGUAAAGUGGCGCACGGGUGAGUAACGCGUGGGUAACCUGCCCUUGAAUCGGGGAUAACUCCGCGAAAGCGGUGCUAAUACCGGAUAAGACCACAGCCGUUUCGGCGGCAGAGGUAAAAGCUGACCUCUCCAUGGAAGUUAGCGUUCGAGGACGGGCCCGCGUCCUAUCAGCUUGUUGGUGGGGUAAUGGCCUACCAAGGCAGCGACGGGUAGCUGGUCUGAGAGGAUGAUCAGCCACACUGGAACUGGAACACGGUCCAGACUCCUACGGGAGGCAGCAGUGAGGAAUUUUGCGCAAUGGGGGAAACCCUGACGCAGCAACGCCGCGUGGGUGAAGAAGGCUUUCGGGUCGUAAAGCCCUGUCAGGUGGGAAGAACCGUUUCGAUACUAAUAAUGUCGAAGCCUGACGGUACCACCAGAGGAAGCACCGGCCAACUCCGUG